UGCCCGACUGCCCGUUCUGCUAGGCGGCGCUGCUAGUCUACCAACUGUUGUUGUCUGCUGCACCAAACCAGGCGAAUUUCCCAGGACGUGCACAGUUUGGGAGAGCCAAGAAGUCUUUGAAAAACCAUGGUGGCCUUCGUGUAAAUCUAUCUAGAUCUACAUUAUAUAUUUAGAUAUUACGUGAUUCAGGUGUGGCUUGUUGUGUAGUGUGUCGUGUUCUGAGAAAGGGGAGUAUCGUAUGGAAAAACCAAAACGGUUUUUUUUUCUACACGGAACUAGACUGAGCUGCAGUCUUCUCCAGACAUAAAAAGGCUUUUCAAGCGUACGAGAUAACACCUACCGGAAAGGACGCUCGCCCUGGUCGGAGUUCUGCAAGAUACAGAGAUAUCGCCUGAAUCUACUUGAGUUCGGCAAGAGGGAGAAAGACAGAGAGAGAGAGAGAGAGAAAGAGAGAGAGAGAGAGA